UAAUAUAAAUUCAUUAUAUUUCUGCUCAUUCCCUCUUAUCUUUUUAGAUUAUCAUUUCUACGUUGCUCUCUGUUUCUAUCUCUUUAGCUCCUUUGCCUCCUGUAUUUCUUCAUGAUAUCCACAACCUCACUCGAAAAUGUCAAUUUUCAUACAGUUCUCUCACGAGCAGAACGCCUCACUUGUGUCCUUAAUUGACAAUUAAUAAUCCGCUAAUAUAUGAUAUUUUCAUCAUCUUUAAAUGGAUUUUCCGGGACACUAAUAUUGGAUCCAUUCUAUAAUAUGUCAGGACAACCGAUAUUAAGAAAUUGAGAGGGAUGAAUGAUUUGAUAAAGGAUAGGGCAGGUUUUCUUUUUGUUGUUACUACAUUUGCUUGAAAAUAAUAUUUUAUAUAUUCAUGUAUUCUCUAUCACGUUUACAAUAUUAAAUUUAUGCAGACUGUAAUGAGUAACCAAUACGGUUACAAUUUUAUAUCAUAUAUAAAUAAAUAACGACGACUUUCGGACCCUUUUCCCUCCCCAUUCACAUUGUUGUUGUUGUUGUUUUUUGCAAAGAGACCUCCACGUGAACUGCGCAAAAAUAAGGCAGGACUCGUAUUAUUUAUAAAUUAUAAUUCAUAAUAGGCAGCAAAAACAGUGAAUGAAGCUGAGGUGUUUCCCCUUGCUCCUAUUCGGCUAUCCUAGCUUGCUCCUUCUCUUCAAAUCAACUCAUGAAUUUUCAAAUAAAAAUAAAGAAAAAUAUUAAAAAAUGAGCCUGCAUUGGAUUGCAUUCCAGCAAUGCAUGCUCCGGUGCAACAUGCACUCACUCUUUUUAAGUUAAGACGCGCAGCAAGUGAAGAAGUCUACUCUGUACUCGAGAUUGAGUGAGAAAAGAACUUCCUAUUCCUUGUUAACGCUGAAAAUAUAAUUCCAAUUUGUAUUAUUAUGUUGUAACUUGUAUAUAAUUUUGGAAUCGAAGUCAUCUUAGCAUAGCUUCUUUACUUCUGGACUCUAUAUUAUUAUUUUUUUAAAUUCAAUAUAUUGUUAGACGUAGAAGUAACUAAUACUUAAUUAAAUUAAUUGUAGUUAAGUAAAUGGUAAUUUAUGGGAAGCUGGCUUCAU
rnacentral:lncRNA from 1 species